GAGCCGGCAUAGUCGGUAUCAUUCGGACCGGCGAGUAUCUCCGCGUGUCAAGAACGCGGUGUCGCCGGUUCGAUCCCGGCCGGCUCCA
rnacentral:tRNA from 1 species